rnacentral:miRNA from 1 species
CUCGCUGUUCCUUUUUCCUAUGCAUAUACUUCUUUGAAACAUAACUUUAAAGAGGCAUAAGGCAUGGGAAAAUGGGGCUGCAGAGGUAUUCCACCCGGCCGAGCUCAACCAGCAGCAUUCACUUCUGCAGGCACU